AUUGAACGCUGGCGGCAGGCCUAACACAUGCAAGUCGAAUGGUAACAGGAAACAGCUUGCUGUUUCGCUGACGAGUGGCGGACGGGUGAGUAAUGUCUGGGAAACUGCCUGAUGGAGGGGGAUAACUACUGGAAACGGUAGCUAAUACCGCAUAACGUCGCAAGACCAAAGAGGGGGACCUUCGGGCCUCUUGCCAUCAGAUGUGCCCAGAUGGGAUUAGCUAGUAGGUGAGGUAACGGCUCACCUAGGCGACGAUCCCUAGCUGGUCUGAGAGGAUGACCAGCCACACUGGAACUGAGACACGGUCCAGACUCCUACGGGAGGCAGCAGUGGGGAAUAUUGCACAAUGGGCGCAAGCCUGAUGCAGCCAUGCCGCGUGUAUGAAGAAGGCCUUCGGGUUGUAAAGUACUUUCAGCGGGGAGGAAGGGAGUAAAGUUAAUACCUUGGCUCAUUGACGUUACCCGCAGAAGAAGCACCGGCUAACUCCGUG
rnacentral:rRNA from 1 species